ACAUGCCUACAUCAUAGCGUUAAUGCAUUGGAUCUCAUUAGAAAUCCACAAUUAAGCGCACUCAUGCUAGAGUAGUACUAGGAUGGGUGACCACUUAGGAAGUCCUAGUAUUUUACAAGCC
rfam:Picea glauca, whole genome shotgun sequence.